GGAUUAGUGGCGAACGGGUGAGUAACACGUGGGCAAUCUGCCCUGCACUCUGGGACAAGCCCUGGAAACGGGGUCUAAUACCGGAUACUGAUCGCCUUGGGCAUCCUUGGUGAUCGAAAGCUCCGGCGGUGCAGGAUGAGCCCGCGGCCUAUCAGCUUGUUGGUGAGGUAAUGGCUCACCAAGGCGACGACGGGUAGCCGGCCUGAGAGGGCGACCGGCCACACUGGGACUGAGACACGGCCCAGACUCCUACGGGAGGCAGCAGUGGGGAAUAUUGCACAAUGGGCGAAAGCCUGAUGCAGCGACGCCGCGUGAGGGAUGACGGCCUUCGGGUUGUAAACCUCUUUCAGCAGGGAAGAAGCGAAAGUGACGGUACCUGCAGAAGAAGCGCCGGCUAACUACGUGCCAGCAGCCGCGGUAAUACGUAGGGCGCGAGCGUUGUCCGGAAUUAUUGGGCGUAAAGAGCUCGUAGGCGGCUUGUCGCGUCGGUUGUGAAAGCCCGGGGCUUAACCCCGGGUCUGCAGUCGAUACGGGCAGGCUAGAGUUCGGUAGGGGAGAUCGGAAUUCCUGGUGUAGCGGUGAAAUGCGCAGAUAUCAGGAGGAACACCGGUGGCGAAGGCGGAUCUCUGGGCCGAUACUGACGCUGAGGAGCGAAAGCGUGGGGAGCGAACAGGAUUAGAUACCCUGGUAGUCCACGCCGUAAACGGUGGGCACUAGGUGUGGGCGACAUUCCACGUCGUCCGUGCCGCAGCUAACGCAUUAAGUGCCCCGCCUGGGGAGUACGGCCGCAAGGCUAA
rnacentral:rRNA from 1 species